rnacentral:rRNA from 1 species
UACAGAGGGUGCAAGCGUUGUUCGGAAUUAUUGGGCGUAAAGCGCGUGUAGGCGGCUUUGCAAGUCGGGUGUGAAAGCCCUCAGCUUAACUGAGGAAGUGCGCCCGAAACUGCAGAGCUUGAAUACCGGAGAGGAUGGCGGAAUUCCCCAAGUAGAGGUGAAAUUCGUAGAUAUGGGGAGGAACACCGGUGGCGAAGGCGGCAUCCUGGACCGGUAUUGACGCUGAGGCGCGAAAGCCAGGGGAGCAAACGGG